rnacentral:rRNA from 1 species
AUGAACGCUGGCGGCGUGCCUAAUACCUGCAAGUCGCGCGAACAGACGAGGAGCUUUCUCCUCUGACGUUAGCGGCGGACGGGUGAGUAACACGUGGAUAACCUACCUAUAAGACUGGGAUAACUUCGGGAAACCGGAGCUAAUACCGGAUAAUAUAUUUAAACGCAUGGUUCAAUAGUGAAAGACGGUUUUGCUGUCACUUAUAGAUGGAUCCGCGCCGCAUUAGCUAGUUGGUAAGGUAACGGCUUACCAAGGCAACGAUGCGUAGCCGACCUGAGAGGGUGAUCGGCCACACUGGAACUGAGACACGGUCCAGACUCCUACGGGAGGCAGCAGUAGGGAAUCUUCCGCAAUGGGCGAAAGCUUGACGGAGCAACGCCGCGUGAGUGAUGAAGGUCUUCGGAUCGUAAAACUCUGUUAUUAGGGAAGAACAAAUGUGUAAGUAACUAUGCACGUCUUGACGGUACCUAAUCAGAAAGCCACGGCUAACUACGUG